UACGAAGGGGGCUAGCGUUGCUCGGAAUCACUGGGCGUAAAGCGCACGUAGGCGGAUCUUUAAGUCAGGGGUGAAAUCCCGGGGCUCAACCUCGGAACUGCCUUUGAUACUGGGGAUCUCGAGUCCGGGAGAGGUGAGUGGAACUGCGAGUGUAGAGGUGAAAUGCGCAGAUAUCAGGAGGAACACCAGCGGCGAAGGCGGCGCUCUGGGCCGGAACUGACGCUGAGGAGCGAAAGCGUGGGUAGCAAACAGG
rnacentral:rRNA from 1 species